rnacentral:rRNA from 1 species
AUUGAACGCUAGCGGGAUGCUUUACACAUGCAAGUCGAACGAGUGGCGGACGGGUGAGUAAUAUACCGGAACGUGCCCAGUAGCGGGGGAUAAAUAAACGAAAGAGUGGCUAAUACCGCACAAUAUUGGAGCGGCCGAUAACGGAUUAGUUAGGUGGUGGGGUAAACGCUGACAUGGGCAACGAUCCGUAGCUGGUUUGAGAGGACGACCAGCCACACUGGGACUGCGACACGGCCCAGACUCCUGCGGGAGUGAGCAGUGGGGAAUUUGGGGCAAUGGGGGAGACCCUGAUCCAGCCAUCCCGCGUGUAUGAGAAGGCCUUCGGGUUGUAAAGUACUUUUGGCAGUUAUACGGUAUCUGCAGAAUAAGCACCGGCUAACUACGUGCCAGCAGCCGCGGUAAUAC